UACGUAGGGGGCAAGCGUUGUCCGGAAUCAUUGGGCGUAAAGAGCGUGUAGGCGGCCAGAUAAGUCCGCUGUGAAAACUCGAGGCUCAACUUCGAGCUGUCGGCGGAAACCACUUGGCUAGAGUCCGGAAGAGGAGAGUGGAAUUCCCGGUGUAGCGGUGAAAUGCGCAGAUAUCGGGAAGAACACCUAUGGCGAAGGCAGCUCUCUGGGACGGUACUGACGCUGAGACGCGAAAGCGUGGGGAGCGAACAGG
rnacentral:rRNA from 1 species